GAGCUUUGUAGCAUGUUCUUAACUGGACAAGUUGUGAUGUUGUUCUUGUCGUAUCUAUGGCAACGAAUGCAUCAUCUGUGAUGCUGCAUGACAUGCCUUCCGUCGCCAUAUAUACGCUAGAAAUAGAACUUGAAUUUAGCUUUGAUCUUUCAACGCUGUCACUUUUAAAGGACACAGCCUACUGGAGACAUCAGAGUUUUUCACAUCACCACAGGAUUCUUCAAAACGCAAUAUGAACUGCAGAACUAACCCCCACGUACAAAAGCUGACAAUAGAGCUUAAUUGUGCAAACAAGGAAAUUUCCAGUCAGAGGAAACUGAUAAGUGAACUACAGACAUUCGAAAAGAAGUCUGUAAAUCAGUUCGAGACAUUCCGCGCCCGGGCCAAAGCUGACAAAAAUAAAAUAGUCCACCUUCAACAGCAUAUAAAGCUCUGUGAUAAGACUAUAAACGGUCUGAAGUUAGAUCUGAAACUACAAAAAAAUGUUAGUGCUGACCUGACUAAUAAGUUUAAGAAAGAAAAAAAUACGCUCGCUGAGGAAAACAACCUGCUCAUGGAACUUUACAACACCAGAGAUGGGCCGUCUUUGUUGAUCAAGGAAACCAGAAAACGUCUGAUUCAACGAGAACAGGAGAAUCUCGAGAACGAAAAGGCGUGGAUGGAGAAAUACAAUCAUCUGCAGACGAUCUUCCAGAUACAGAGAAACUGUCUGGAGAGGAAGUUCAAGAAUGAGUUGGUCGAGAAAGAAAAGUUGUUAGACACAGUAAAAGAGCUUGAGAAGUCCUGUUCUCAUCUCCAGGAGGAUCGGAGAAUUUUGUUGACAGACAACGUGCGUUUGAGUAUAGAUAACAGCUUGCUGAAGAGGGGAAUCGAGGCCAUAAAGGAAAACCCGUGCAUGACCAACAACAGGUUUGAGACAGAAGAAAGCAAGAUAAAUGAGAUGCCGAAAGGCAAAUGUAGAAAUGAGAUUGAACUCAAACAACUGAAGGAAAUAAACAAGGAAGAUGAGGACAUUCUCCUUGAAACGAGAAAGAAUAGAGGCUUCUUUAGCAGAAAGACGGAGGACAGAGAGACUGAGUCGAAGAAAAGGAACGCACAGCCGGACAUUUUCCCUGAAACGAGAAAGAAUAGAGGCUUCUUUAGCAGAAAGACAGAGGACAAAAAGACGGAGGACAGAGAGACUCAGUCGAAGAAAAGGAACGCACAGCCGGACAUUUUCCCUGAAACGAGAAAGAAUAGAGGCUUCUUUAGCAGAAAGACAGAGGACAAAAAGACAGAGGACAGAGAGACUGAGUCGAAGAAAAGGAACGCACAGCCGGACAUUUUCCCUGAAACGAGAAAGAAUAGAGGCUUCUUUAGCAGAAAGACAGAGGACAAAAAGACAGAGGACAGAGAGACUGAGUCGAAGAAAAGGAACGCACAGCUGGACAUUCUACUUGAAACGAGAAAGAUUAGAGACUUCUUUAGCAGAAAGAUGAAGGACAGAAAGACUGAAUCGAAGAAAAGGAACGCACGUGUCUGUCCCGAGUCUUCCCCCAUCCUCUGACCGAGCUCACAACCAGAUGGUGAUCAGUUGACAGCUCUGCCCCUCUCUUUACCCGAGUGUCCAGAACAUGCGGCCUCAGAUCAGACGAUACGAUUACAAAAUUGAUCACUGAUCUUUGGCCUAGGGCGCUCUGGUACCACGUACACUUAUGAACAUCCUUAUGUUCGAACAUGGUGUUUGUUAUGGACAAUCCGUGACUAGCACAAAAGUCAAGUAACAAACACCCGCUCAGGUUCAGAUCAGGGAGGCCAUUCCUCCCAAUCACGCCUCUCCAGUUAUCUCCAUCGUCGCCCACGUGCGCAUUGAAGUCUCCCAGUAGGACUAUGGAGUCCCCUACUGAAGCCCCUUGCAGGACUCCAUUCAGGGUCUCCAGAAGAAAGCAAGAUAAAUGAGAUGCCGAAAGGCAAAUGUAGAAAUGAGAUUGAACUCAAACAACUGAAGGAAAGAAACAAGGAAGAUGAGGACAUUUUCCUUGAAACGAGAUAGAAUAGAGGCUUCUUUAGCCGAAAGACCGAUGACAGAGAGACUGAGUCGAAGAAAAGGAACGCACAGCCGGACACAGGGAGGACAGGUUCCUUCAAACAGAUAUUCAAGACUUUGUAAUGUUUUGUGUCUGCGUGGGUUUUUCUCCUGGUUCUCAGGUUUCCCAUAAAAAAAACCUUUAGGCCAACUGGAAGCUCUAAGUCUGCUAGGGCUCAGUGGCUGCGACCACGUCUCCAGCUAGAGGUGCGGUGGCUGUGGUAUUCUCCCAGUGUCGCCGUGGGUUUUUAUCCUGAUGCUCAGGUUUCCCACAAAUUAAAAAAAACAGCAAGAGCUUUGUAGCAUGUUCUUAACUGGACAAGUUGUGAUGUUGUUCUUGUCGUAUCUAUGGCAACGAAUGCAUCAUCUGUGAUGCUGCAUGACAUGCCUUCCGUCGCCAUAUAUACGCUAGAAAUAGAACUUGAAUUUAGCUUUGAUCUUUCAACGCUGUCACUUUCAAAGGACACAGCCUACUGGAGACAUCAGAGUUUUUCACAUCACCACAGGAUUCUUCAAAACGCAAUAUGAACUGCAGAACUAACCCCCACGUACAAAAGCUGACAAUAGAGCUUAAUUGUGCAAACAAGGAAAUUUCCAGUCAGAGGAAACUGAUAAGUGAACUACAGACAUUCGAAAAGAAGUCUGUAAAUCAGUUCGAGACAUUCCGCGCCCGGGCCAAAGCUGACAAAAAUAAAAUAGUCCACCUUCAACAGCAUAUAAAGCUCUGUGAUAAGACUAUAAACGAUCUGAAGUUAGAUCUGAAACUACAAAAAAAUGUUAGUGUUGACCUGACUAAUAAGUUUAAGAAAGAAAAAAAUACGCUCGCUGAGGAAAACAACCUGCUCAUGGAACUUUACAACACCAGAGAUGGGCCGUCUUUGUUGAUCAAGGAAACCAGAAAACGCCUGAUUCAACGAGAACAGGAGAAUCUCGAGAACGAAAAGGCGUGGAUGGAGAAAUACAAUCAUCUGCAGACGAUCUUCCAGAUACAGAGAAACUGUCUGGAGAGGAAGUUCAAGAAUGAGUUGGUCGAGAAAGAAAAGUUGUUAGACACAGUAAAAGAGCUUGAGGAGUCCUGUUCUCAUCUCCAGGAGGAUCGGAGAAUUUUGUUGACAGACAACGUGC
ensembl:lncRNA